UACGAAGGGGGCUAGCGUUGCUCGGAAUCACUGGGCGUAAAGCGCACGUAGGCGGAUCUUUAAGUCAGGGGUGAAAUCCUGGAGCUCAACUCCAGAACUGCCUUUGAUACUGGGGAUCUCGAGUCCGGAAGAGGUGAGUGGAACUCCGAGUGUAGAGGUGAAAUUCGUAGAUAUUCGGAAGAACACCAGUGGUGAAGGCGGCUCACUGGUCCGGUACUGACGCUGAGGUGCGAAAGCGUGGGGAGCAAACAGG
rnacentral:rRNA from 1 species